rnacentral:tRNA from 1 species
UGUCCCAUGGCUUAGUUGGUUACGGCGUCCGACUGUUAGUCUCUCAAUCGGAAGAUCGAGAGUUCAAGUCUCUCUGGGACAG